GUGGGCAGCUCAGCUCUGUGGAGUUCAGCUAGGCUCCUGACACAGGGAAGAGUGCGCAUCAAAAAUAUUUCAGUGUAGACUAGAAGAGUAAGGAAAAAUGCAGGAAGUGGGGAGGAAAGUAGCUUAUUAACGUGCUUAUAUGGAGGAAGCAAGAAUAUGAACCUGGUUCACAGGGAGGCUUUGAAUUGGGGUUAUAGCAAGAAAUUGGCCUGAUAAUGCUAUUGUGGGAAUAUUACAUUUAAACUAGAAUUCCAGAAAAUGUAAUUGGUUUUUAUUCUAUACAGACAAUGGAAUUGGUUUUUAUUCUAUACGGACAAUGAGAAAGCUAUGAUAUGUUUGAGCAGAAGAGUAAUGUAAUACAACAUGUAAUUUAGAAGUGAUUUUAGAAGUAUUUUAUCCAUCUCUCUUGCCAGCCUAGCCAAACAUUUGUCUACAUAUUUUGGGAAUAUAUUGUGCCUUUGAAUGUACUGGAAUUCCUUUGCAUGGUUCAUGAUCUAAGGAAGUUAUACAUGUUUCAGAAAAAAGCUAAGAAAUUAUUCUACAGUGUGACUUAAUAGACGCCCUUUAAUAACACUAUGGGGAAAUAAAGGUGUAAUUAUUAUAACUCAGGAGAUGAUGCAAAAGAUCUCACACAGUGAGUGAUUUAUAAGCAUAUAUAAGAUCACACUAACAGAAAAAAUACUGAUGAAAAGAUCACAUGAACCAAACGUAUUUUACUUCAGAUUUUCUCUAAAAUUUAUUUCCUUCUUCAGAAAAUGAGAAAAACUGCAUUUUGACUAUAUAAAUUGAAGAGAUAUUUUGACAACUGAUGAAAGUAUUUGUAAAUCCACAAAAAGUCUUAUUAUUAACGUGAUUGUAUUUAUAAGUUCUGAAAAUUUUCAAAAAAGCAUAAAUGAUACUUCAUAAUUUAACCUAACUUACAUCUCCAACUUAAUUUCCCACCAGUUUUUGAUAAGUACAUAUCAUUUUAACCAACUCAGAUUACAAUUGAAACUAACUCAUCUUAAAAAAGGUAGGACGUGGACUGCUCAUUGUGGCUCAGCAAUAACAAACCUGAGUGGUAGCCAAGAGGAUGCAGGUUUGGUCCUGCUCAGUGGGUUAAGGAUCUGGUAUUGCUGUGAGCUGUGGUGUAGGUUGCAGACACGGCUUGGAUAUGGCAUUGCUGUGACCAUGGUGCAGGCCAGCAGUUGUAGCUUUGAUUCAACCCCUAGACUGGGAAUUUCCAUAUGCUGCAGGUGCAAAAAAAAUAAAGAGACAAAAAUAAAUAAAUAAAUAAAAGGAUAUUAGUGUUUAGUUAAAAAUAUCUAAUAAGAAAAGUAAUUUUAAAAUUAUAUAUAAGUAUUGUAAACAUUGCCCUUUAACAUAAAAACAUAUGCACAGUUAGUCAUUUGUCAAACAUUUGCUGUGGGGCCAUUGUCUUUUCUUUGUGUAUGGAAUUGCUAAUUGCAGUUUAAUAGUGCUUUACUUCUAAAUUUUCAUCAUAAUCCAGAUUUUGCAGUUUUAGUUUCUCUAAAGAAGAGUAAAAAUGUUAAAAACAGUUUUCCAGAUUUAGUCUAGAUGUUUAUGAUUAACUUUCCAAUAUGUGAUGAUUUUUUUUCACACCUAAUUUAACAAUAAAAUUUUAAAUUACACACUUUUGUCAACUACUUACGUAACAUUUAAUUUAUCAUAGCAACUAUUUAUUUUGAACUCGGUUGAUUUAAGUAUUAUCUAAAUUAAUUACAUAAUUACCAAAAUAAUUGCAAGCAACAAAAACAGAAUUAGAAUGCAAGCAAACUGCUUUCUAUGAUGCAACUUAAAAUACAGGAAAAAAUGUGUGUACCUGAAUAUGUUUUACCUAGUCAUGAGCAUUUCGAAUCUGUUAGUAAUACUCAGUACUUUUUCAUGGAGAAAAUAUUAUUAGCCAGUUAAAUGGAUUAAAUGGAUUUCCUUAUAAGAGUUUCUACUCUAAUUAAUAUUUUUCAAAUACUCAUUUAUUUAUCUUUGUACUUGUUGCCCCUACUGCUGGAAUACCUGCUCAUCUAUUAUUCUGCAUAAUUACCACUCAUUUUCAAGACUCCAGGAGAAGCACUGAUACCCUGGAAUUGUUUUCAAAUUAUUUCUCACUAAAGAGAGUCAGGCAGCCCAACAUCUGUGUUCAAAUAUCUCCCUCUCUAAACCACUAUUAUUAAUUUUUAUACAAAUAUUAAUCACAGCUAAGUUAUUGAACACCUUGUUAUUAAAACUUGUUUUCAGCAAGUCGUGAGUAUUAACUUAUUUAAUCCUCUUAACACACUAUGAGGUAAGUCAAAUAUUUUCCUGCAUUUUAUAAAUAUGAAAGAAGCAUGUAGCAUUUGAGUAAUUUAUAUAAAGUAACAUAGUAGGUAAAAAUGCCAAGAUCAAACCUAAGUAUUUUGGCUUUAGAUGUCAUGCUUUUAGGAUCUACAUUUAUUAUCUCUCUGUUAUAGGACAUUGCAUUUUAGUUGUUGGCAUUCACAAUAAGUGAUUAGAUCUUGUUAUCAGAAUUAUGUCUUUUUCAUCUUAAGGAUAGACCUUAAUAUAGAGUACCAAUGCCUGGAACAGAAUAUCACUCAUAGCAUUUUUUUUCCUUGGAUAUAUGAAUGAGAUUUCAAAUAGUAGAAAUAGUUUUUAGCCAUUUGAAAUUUAGAGAACAGUCUAACUGUAUCAGACAUCUUUUUAAAGCAGGGUAUUUAGUAAAAGUAGAAGGAAUGCUUUCUGCUUCUAAUAUUUUAAGUCUUCUGUUGCUUUGAAGAUCCACAGAAGCUUAUUUUUCAACUCAGAAUAGUAUUAACAUUAUUUGGUAUUUGACCGUGCAUUCUUGUUACAUUAAUAAAUCAUGGAAACUGAAAAUUCAUAUAUCAUUGAAUGAAUCCAAAUAAUUUAUUUUUUUCUCAUUUCUGCCAUUCUAUCUAUAGAGUUCAAAGCGUUAGUUGUCUGAGUUCAUAAAAUUUCCACUGGAUAGAUAGGUUAGAGCCACUCCAUAGAAUCAAUGUCACACAAACCAUGUGGGUUGAUGGAUUUUUUCACAUCAAACUGUCAUCUUGUCUCUGCUGUUACAUUAUAUUUUCUACCUCAACGGUGACUCAGAUUGUUAUUUUUUACAGCUGGUGUCCCACUACAAAAUAACCCAGUAUAUUUUUUGACUACCCAUUUAGCUUUUUAUUGAUAACAAAAGGCUUUAGUUUUUUACCCUAAGUUUGAGUCUAAAAACUGUCUGGAUUUUUUUUUUUUAAGGUGGAAACAUUUAAAAACAGAUGCAUUCAUAUGAAUCUCACUGUGACAGGAAAUUAUUUUAGGAGUCAGAGUUGACUUACCACUGUAACAUUUUUCUUUCCUUUUAUUUUUUUAUUUAUACCAGUUACCAACCAGCUUAACUUGAUGACACUUUAUGAUGACUGCUGAUAAUGAUGCUCUGCGACUUAACUCCAGGGAUUUUGCGUUUGUGUAGGCACUGUGAUCUAUAGCCAAGGAGCUCUCACACAUUCACAAAAAUCAAUAAAUAGACACUUUUUAAGUAGGUAAUUUCAGAGGGAUGUGUUUGCAUUUAGAUAAGAAGUCAUGCUCUCUCAAGAAUGACUAAGGAGUUGGCCUGUAAAGAGAGUGUAAAGGACAGUCUAGUCAGUGGGAAUUACAAUUUAAAUUAUGGAGAGAAAACAAAGGGAAAAAAAAAUGACCUUUGAAUUGAUAAAUAAUCAAGCAGGAUUCACGUUGAGUGUAUGUGUGCCUGGAUGUGUGUAUUCAUAUUUGUAUUUUGGAAUGAGAUUGGGAGAAGUAAAAACAUUAUAUAAAUUUUGUCAAAGAUGUAAAAAAAAAUGGAAUAUCUUCCAUAAGGAAAAAGGAUUUAUAUUUUAUAUGGCAUCCAAUAAAGAAUUUUAAAUGAGACAUUAAUACAAUUAUAUGUCUAUUUUAGAGUCUGUAGCUUUGUAGAACAAGUAUUAAAGGGAGAAAUAACAGAGACAGUAGAACCAAUCAUGCUAAACACCUGAAAUGAGAGAUAACUGGUUUUGUACUGGGGCAGUAACUGUUAGUGUAUGGAGAAGGGAUGUAUUUGAAAGAAUUUGGUAAAUUACUAAAUUGGGCUGGGGAGCAGAAUGGUGAGAAAACGGGAAGAGUCGAGUUUGAUGCCUUCUGACCUGUGUACCUGUGUGGAAAAGUUUGCUGAGAUUGAUGAAGACAAAUGAUUAACUGCUUUAAUAAGAUAGGAAGGCAGAGAUUGUGAUAGAUAAUUAUUUGGGACAUGAAGAAUUAAUGUGUUUAUGAUAUACGCAGGCAGAGAGGUUCAGGGGCAAGUGGAGCCAAGGGAAGAGGUUUAGACUGACAGUAUAGAUUUGAAAAUCACCACCAUAUACCUGGUUAUUGAAGUCAUAGGUGCCAGGUUGAUCAUAAAGGCAAGUCUCAUAGUUGUAAAUGAACAACCAAGUAGAUAGAAAAUACACCAGAAUAAAACCUACAUUCUUUGUACUCUGCAUUUCUUACUACUCCUUGGGACACUUUCAUUCUUUUAGAACUCCUCACUUUUGAGGAUGUUAUUCCUUUAUACCUGGAAAACCUUAUGCUUCUGCCUCAUUCCCUGUCUCAUGUGUUCCUAACCAAUACUAAUCAAUUGGACCUGAGGCACAAGCAAUCUGAAAGCAGGAGUGACUAGGGUGAUGUAGAGCAAAAAGAGCCAAUUACAUUCAAUGUUUACUUUUAUCCAUUCUUAGGCAACUGUGAAUAGCAUGUUCAAAUGUUAACUGUUUCCUGGCUUCUCAGGAUGGCAUCUCUUUUUUGCCUGAACAACCUUUUAUGAUAUUUUAAAAAUUACUUUAUAUUUACAUUUUUGCACAUCUACUUCUCUUGGACUAGAAAUUCUCCUGUGUCCUUGUAUGUCAGUUUUGAUCCUCCAAGAAUAGGACCAAAGAAGAUGUCAAAAUGGGAUUAGACACUGGGCAAUUUAUGGUAGGAAUGCCUGUGAAAGAUAAAGCCAAAAGGGGCAAGAGAAUAAUGGA
rnacentral:lncRNA from 1 species